rnacentral:lncRNA from 1 species
CACCCAAUCACUUUUCUCAAAUUCUAAAUCCCUUCUCGGGGUAUCCGCAUAACUCUUCUGUCUGUUCUGAGCCGUCUGGAUGUUCUUCCUGCUCUUAACUACUUGGCUGUAGUCUCCUCCAAAAAAUUUGGAUCAAACAAUCUUCUAUCAUCUACUUAUUUCCAAUAGAUCGGCAAUCUGCAUAGACGGCCAUACAACGCCUCGUACGAAGUCAUGUCAAUACUUGUUU